rnacentral:tRNA from 1 species
UGGGGAUUAGUCUAGUGGUAGGACACGCGACUCUGGAUCGUGGGACACAGGUUCGAAUCCUGUAUCCCCAGCCA